UAUGUAUAGAUUGGAUUUUGG
rnacentral:piRNA from 1 species